rnacentral:rRNA from 1 species
AUUGAACGCUGGCGGCAGGCUUAACACAUGCAAGUCGAGCGGAGCGAGGGUGCUUGCACCUUAGCUUAGCGGCGGACGGGUGAGUAAUGCUUAGGAAUCUGCCUAUUAGUGGGGGACAACAUUCCGAAAGGGAUGCUAAUACCGCAUACGCCCUACGGGGGAAAGCAGGGGAUCUUCGGACCUUGCGCUAAUAGAUGAGCCUAAGUCGGAUUAGCUAGUUGGUGGGGUAAAGGCCUACCAAGGCGACGAUCUGGAGCGGGUCUGAGAGGAUGCUCCGCCACACUGGGACUGAGACACGGCCCAGACUCCUACGGGAGGCAGCAGUGGGGAAUAUUGGACAAUGGGCGAAAGCCUGAUCCAGCCAUGCCGCGUGUGUGAAGAAGGCCUUUUGGUUGUAAAGCACUUUAAGCGAGGAGGAGGCUACUAGUACUAAUACUACUGGAUAGUGGACGUUACUCGCAGAAUAAGCACCGGCUAACUCUGUGCCAGCAGCCGCGGUAACAC